rnacentral:rRNA from 1 species
CCUACGGGAGGCAGCAGUGGGGAAUAUUGCACAAUGGGCGAAACCCUGAUGCAGCGACGCCGCGUGAGUGAAGAAGUAUUUCGGUACGUAAGGCUCUAUCAGCAGGAAGGAAAAUGACGGUACCUGCCUAAGAAGCACCGGCUAACUACGUGCCAGCAGCCGCGGUAAUACGUAGGGAGCAAGCGUUAUCCGGAUUUACUGGGGGUAAAGGGUUCGUAGACGGCAUCGCCAGUCUGGAGUUAAAUGCCGGGGCUCAACCCCGGAACUGCUCUGGAAACUUGGAAGCUGGAGUGCAGAAGAGGUAAGCGGAAUUCCUGGUGUAGCGGUGAAAUGCGUAGAUAUCAGGAGGAACACCGGCGGCGAAGGCGGCUUACUGGACUGUAACUGACGUUGAGGCUCGAAGGCGUGGGGAGCAAACAGGAUUAGAUACCCUAGUAGUC